GCGAGGGGAGCCCUAGCACAGGUGCUGCAUGGCCGUCGUCAGCUCGUGCCGUGAGGUGUUGGGUUAAGUCCCGCAACGAGCGCAACCCCCGCGUUAGUGCCAGCGGUUCGGCCGGGCACUCUAACGGGACUGCCCGCGAAAGCGGGAGGAAGGAGGGGACGACGUCUGGUCAGCAUGGCCCUUACGGCCUGGGCGACACACGUGCUACAAUGCCCACUACAAAGCGAUGCCACCCGGCAACGGGGAGCUAAUCGCAAAAAGGUGGGCCCAGUUCGGAUUGGGGUCUGCAACCCGACCCCAUGAAGCCGGAAUCGCUAGUAAUCGCGGAUCAGCCAUGCCGCGGUGAAUACGUUCCCGGGCCUU
rnacentral:rRNA from 1 species